ensembl:snoRNA
GUGAAAUGAUGAUGAAGUUUAUCCAUUCUCUGAGUGUGCUGCUGUGCCCUUCCUGCAGUUCUCAGCUCCUGUUCUAGGAACUGAGUUAUGUAACCUCCAGAUGCCCUCCAGAUUUGCAGUGUUCUACUGUAGAUGGUAGGUGUGUGUGGUGGUCUUACUAGUAGGAAGGGAUAGUGUCAGCAGAGAUGGAACCCUAUCUCUUUAGGGUCCCAUCUUGCCAAGACGAAUGACUGGUGUCUGAUCAC